rnacentral:rRNA from 1 species
GACGAACGCUGGCGGCGUGCUUAACACAUGCAAGUCGAACGGUGAAGGGGAGCUUGCUCCCCGGAUCAGUGGCGAACGGGUGAGUAACACGUGGGCAGCCUGCCCCAGACUUCGGGAUAACGCUUCGAAAGAGGUGCUAAUACCGGAUACGAACUCCUUGGGCAUCCAGGGGGUUGGAAAGUUCUUCGGUCUGGGAUGGGCCCGCGGCCUAUCAGCUUGUUGGUGAGGUAACGGCCCACCAAGGCGACGACGGGUAGCCGGCCUGAGAGGGCGACCGGCCACACUGGGACUGAGACACGGCCCAGACUCCUACGGGAGGCAGCAGUGGGGAAUAUUGCGCAAUGGGCGAAAGCCUGACGCAGCAACGCCGCGUGAGGGAUGACGGCCUUCGGGUUGUAAACCUCUUUCAGCAGGGAAGAAGCGAAAGUGACGGUACCUGCAGAAGAAGCACCGGCUAACUACGUGCCAGCAGCCGCGGUAAAAC